GUAGGAGAGGUAGAAGAGUUGUUCGAGGAGAGUUGAGGGAGGAGAGGUAGGAGAGGAAAGGUAGCAGAGGAGAGGUAGGAGAGUUGAAGGAGGAGAGGUAGAAGAGUUGAGGGAGGAAAGGUAGGAGAGGAGAGGAAGGAGAUUUGAAGGAGGAGAGGUAGGAGAGUUGAGGGAGGAGAGGAAAUGGAGGAGAGGUAGAGGAGUUGAGGGAGAAGAGGUAGAAGUGUUGAGGCAUGAGAUGAGAGGCAGGAGAGUUGAGGGAGGAGAGGUAAGAGAGGAAAGGUAGGAAAGGCAUGAGAGGAGAGGCAGGAGAGGAGAGGUAGGAGAGUUGAGGGAGGAGAGUUGAGGCAUGAGAGGAGAGGUAGGAGAGGAGAGAUUGGAGAGGAGAGGUAGGAGGGUUGAGGGAGGAGAGGUAGGAGAGUUGAGGGAGGAGAGGUAGAAGAGGUAGGAGAAGAGAGGUAGGAGAGUUGAUGGAGGAGAGGGAGGAGAGUUGAGGGAGGAGAUGUAGGAAAGGCAUGAGAGGAGAGGUAGGAGAGUUGAGGGAGGAGAGUUAAGGCAUGAGAGGAGAGGUAGGAGAGGUAGGAGAGUUGAGGGAAGGAGAGGUAGGAGAGUUGAGGGAAGGAGAGGUAGGAGAGUUGAGGGAUGAGAGGUAGGAGAGGAAAGGUGGGAGAGGAGAGGGAGGAGAGGAGAGGUAGGAGAGUUGAGGGAGGAGAGGAGAUGCAGGGGAGGAGAGGUAGGAGAGGAGAGGUAGGAAAGCAGAGGAGAGGCAUGAGAGGAGAGGUAGGAGAGGCAUGAGAGGAGAGGUAGGAGAGUUGAGGGAGGAGAGGUAGGAGAGGAAAGGCAUGAGAGGAGAGGUAGGAGAGGCAUGAGAGGAGAGAUAGGAGAGUUGAAGGAGGAGAGGUAGGAGAGGAGAGGUAGGAGAGUUGAUAGAGGAGAGGCUUGAGAGGAGAGGGAGGAGAGGAGAGAGAGGAGAGGAGAGGGAGGAAAGGUAGGCGAGGAGAGGUAGAUGAGGAGAGGUUGGAGAGUUGAAAGAGGAGAGGUAGGAGUGUUAAGGGAGAAGAGUUGAGGGAGGAGAGGUAGGAGAGUUGAGGGAGGAGCGGUACCAGAGUUGAGGGAGGAGAAUUGAGGGAGGAGAGGGAUGAGAGGAGAGGUAGGAGAGGAGAGGUAGGAGAGUAGUGGGAGGAGAGGUAGGAGAGGAACGGUAGGAGAGGGAGAGGUAUGAAAGGAGAGGUAGGAGGGGUAGGAGAGUUGAGGGAGGAGAGGCAUGAGAGGAGAGGUAGAAGAGUUGAGGGAGGAGAGGAGAGGCAUGAGAUGAGAGGUAGGAGAGUUGAGAGGGGAGAGGUAGAAAAGGUAGGAGAGCUGAGGUAGGAGAGGUAGGAGAGUUGAGGGAGGAGAGGUAGGAGAGGAAAGGUAGGAGAGGAGAGGAGAGGAAGGAGAGUUGAAGGAGGAGAGGUAGGAGAGUUGAGGGAGGAGAGGUAGAGAGGUUGAGGGAGAAGAGGUAGGAGUGUUGAGGUAGGAGAGGAAAGGCAGGAGAGGAAGGAGAGGAGAGGUAGAAGAGGUAGGAGAGUUAAGGGAGGAGAGGUUGGAGAGUUGAGAGAGGAGAGUUGAGGGAGGAGAGGGAGGAGUGUUGAGGGAGGAGAGGGAGGAGAGUUGAGGGAGGAGAGGUAGGAGAGGAGAGGUGGGAGAGGAGAGGGAGGAGAGGAGAGGUAGGAGAGUUGAGGGAGGAGAGGAGAUGCAGGGGAGGAGAGGUAGGAGAGGAGAGGUAGGAAAGCAGAGGAGAGGCAUGAGAGGAGAGGUAGGAGAGGCAUGAGAGGAGAGGUAGGAGAGUUGAGGGAGGAGAGGUAGGAGAGGAAAGGCAUGAGAGGAGAGGUAGGAGAGGCAUGAGAGGAGAGAUAGGAGAGUUGAAGGAGGAGAGGUAGGAGAGGAGAGGUAGGAGAGUUGAUAGAGGAGAGGCUUGAGAGGAGAGGGAGGAGAGGAGAGAGAGGAGAGGGAGGAAAGGUAGGCGAGGAGAGGUAGAUGAGGAGAGGUUGGAGAGUUGAAAGAGGAGCGGUACCAGAGUUGAGGGAGGAGAAUUGAGGGAGGAGAGGAGAGGUAGGAGAGGAGAGGUAGGAGAGUAGUGGGAGGAGAGGUAGGAGAGGAACGGUAGGAGAGGGAGAGGUAUGAAAGGAGAGGUAGGAGGGGUAGGAGAGUUGAGGGAGGAGAGGCAUGAGAGGAGAGGUAGAAGAGUUGAGGGAGGAGAGGAGAGGCAUGAGAGGAGAGGUAGGAGAGUUGAGAGGGGAGAGGUAGGAAAGGUAGGAGAGCUGAGGUAGGAGAGGUAGGAGAGUUGAGGGAGGAGAGGUAGGAGCGGAAAGGUAGGAGAGGAGAGGAGAGGAAGGAGAGUUGAAGGAGGAGAGGUAGGGGAGUUGAGGGAGGAGAGGUAGAGAGGUUGAGGGAGAAGAGGUAGGAGUGUUGAGGUAGGAGAGGAAAGGCAGGAGAGGAAGGAGAGGAGAGGUAGAAGAGGUAGGAGAGUUAAGGGAGGAGAGGUUGGAGAGUUGAGAGAGGAGAGUUGAGGGAGGAGAGGGAGGAGUGUUGAGGGAGAGAGGGAGGAGAGUUGAGGGAGGAGAGGUAGGAGAGGAGAGGUGGGGGAGGAGAGGUGGGGGAGGAGUGUUAAGACAGGCAUGAGAGGAAAGGGAGGACUUGUGAGGGAGGAGAGGAAAGGGAGGAGAGGCAUGAGAGGAGAGAUAGGAGAGGUAGGAGAGUUGAGGGAGGAGAGGUAGGAAAGGAAAGGUAGGAGAGGAGAGGGAGGAGAGUUGAGGGAGGAGAGGGAGGAGAGUUGAGGGAGAAGAGGGAGGAGUAGAAAGGUAUGAGAGUUGAGGGAGGAGAGGUAGAAGAAUUGAGGAGAGGAGAGUUAGGGUCGGAGAGUUGGUGGAGGAGAGGUAAGAGAGGAGAGGUAGGAGAGUUGAGGGAGGAGAGGUAGGAGAAUUGAGGGAGGAGAGUUGGUGGAGGAGAGGUAAGAGAGGAGAGGUAGGAGAGUUGAGGGAGGAGAGGUAGGAUAAUUGAGGGAGCAGAGGUAGGAGAGGAGAUGCAGGGGAGGAGAUGGUAGGGGAGGAGAUGAAGGAGAGGAGAGGUAGGAAAGGAGAGGUAGGAUUGUUGAGGGAGGAGAGGAGAGGAGAGGCAUGAGAGGAGAGGUAGGAGAGUUGAAGGAGGAGAGGUAGGAGACGAGAGGUAGGAGAGUUGAGAGAGGAGAGGGAGGAGAGGAGAGAGAGGAGAGGGAGGCGAGGAGAGGUAGAUGAGGAGAGGUAGGAGAGUUGAGAGAGGAGAGGUAGGAAAGAAAUGAGAGGAGGGAGGAGAUGCAUGAGAGGAAAGGCAUGAGAGGAGAGGUAGGAGAGUUGAGGGAGGAGAGUUGAGGGAGGAGUGUUGAGGGAGGAGAGGAAAGGUAGGAGAAUUGAGGGAGGAGAGGUAGGAGAGUUGAGGGAGGAGUGGUAGGAGAGGAGAGGUAGGAGAGCUGAUGGGGGAGAGAUAGGGGAAUUGAGGGAGGAGAGUUGAGUGAGGAGAGGAGAGGUAGGAGAGGAGUGGGAGGAGAGUUGAGGGCGGAGAGGAAGGAGAGGUAGGAGAGUUGAGGGAGGAGAGUUGAUGGGGGAGAGAUAGGGGAAUUGAGGGAGGAGAGGAGAGGAAGGAGAGUUGAAGGAGGAGAGGUAGGAGAGCUGAGGGAGGAGAGGAGAGGGAGUAGAGGUAGGGAGAGGAGAGGUAGAUGAGGAGAGGUAGGAGAGUUGAGAGAGGAGAGGUAGGAAAGUCAUGAGAGGAGAGGAAGGAGAGUUGAGGGAGGAGAGCUGAUGGAGGAGAGAUAAGGGAGUUGAGGGAGGAGAGGCAGGAGAAGAGAGGUAGGAGAGGAAUGAGAGGAGAGGUAGGAGAGUUGAGGGAGGAGAGGUAGGAGAGUUGAGUGAGGAGAGGUGAGGGAGGAGAGGUAGGAGAGGAAAGGUAGGAGAGGAGAGGUAGGAGAGUUGAUGGAGGAGAGGUAGAAGAGUUGAGGGAGGAAAGGUAGGAGAGGAGAGGAAGGAGAGUUGAAGGAGGAGGGGUAGGAGAGUUGAGGGAGGAGAGGAGAGGGAGGAGAGGUAGAGGAGUUGAGGGAGAAGAGGUAGGAGUGUUGAUGUAGGAGAGGAAAGGCAGGAGGGGAG
rnacentral:lncRNA from 1 species